rnacentral:rRNA from 1 species
UGGGGAAUAUUGCACAAUGGGCGCAAGCCUGAUGCAGCCAUGCCGCGUGUGUGAAGAAGGCCUUCGGGUUGUAAAGCACUUUCAGCGAGGAGGAAGGCAUUAAGGUUAAUAACCUUAGUGAUUGACGUUACUCGCAGAAGAAGCACCGGCUAACUCCGUGCCAGCAGCCGCGGUAAUACGGAGGGUGCAAGCGUUAAUCGGAAUUACUGGGCGUAAAGCGCACGCAGGCGGUUUGUUAAGUCAGAUGUGAAAUCCCCGAGCUUAACUUGGGAGCUGCAUUUGAAACUGGCGAGCUAGAGUCUUGUAGAGGGGGGUAGAAUUCCAGGUGUAGCGGUGAAAUGCGUAGAGAUCUGGAGGAAUACCGGUGGCGAAGGCGGCCCCCUGGACAAAGACUGACGCUCAGGUGCGAAAGCGUGGGGCAGCAAACAGGAUUAGAUACCCUGGUAGUCCAGCGCUGUAAACGAUGUCGACUUUGGAGGU